AGUGAGCAGGGAGAGUAGAAUUAUGUUGGUACCUGGAAGUGGGAUUCUGCUGUAACAAAAUCCUAAAAUGCAGAAGUGACUUUGGAACUGGGCAGCGGGCU